rnacentral:rRNA from 1 species
ACUCCUACGGGAGGCUGCAGUGGGGAAUUUUCCGCAAUGGGCGCAAGCCUGACGGAGCAAGACCGCGUGAGGGAGGAAGGCUCUUGGGUUGUAAACCUCUUUUAUCAGGGAAGAAGAUCUGACGGUACCUGAUGAAUCAGCAUCGGCUAACUCCGUGCCAGCAGCCGCGGUAAUACGGAGGAUGCAAGCGUUAUCCGGAUUUAUUGGGCGUAAAGCGUCCGCAGGUGGUUUUUCAAGUCUGCUGUUAAAGCGCAGAGCUUAACUCUGUAACGGCGGUGGAAACUGAGAGACUAGAGUAUGGUAGGGGUUGCGGGAAUUCCCAGUGUAGCGGUGAAAUGCGUAGAUAUUGGGAAGAACACCAGCGGCGAAAGCGCGCAACUGGGCCAUUACUGACACUCAUGGACGAAAGCUAGGGGAGCGAAAGGGAUUAGAUACCCCUGUAGUCCUAGCUGUAAACGAUGGGUACUAGGUGUUGACCGUAUCGACCCGGUCAGUGCUGUAGCUAACGCGUUAAGUACCCCGCCUGGGGAGUAUGCACGCAAGUGUGAAACUCAAAGGAAUUGACGGGGGCCCGCACAAGCGGUGGAGUAUGUGGUUUAAUUCGAUGCAACGCGAAGAA